rnacentral:rRNA from 1 species
GAGAGGUAACGGCUCACCAAGGCAUCGACGGGUAGCUGGUCUGAGAGGACGAUCAGCCACACUGGAACUGAGACACGGUCCAGACUCCUACGGGAGGCAGCAGUGGGGAAUCUUGCACAAUGGGCGCAAGCCUGAUGCAGCGAUGCCGCGUGCGGGAAGAAGGCCUUAGGGUUGUAAACCGCUUUCAGGAGGGAAGAAAAUGACGGUACCUCCAGAAGAAGGUGCGGCCAACUACGUGCCAGCAGCCGCGGUGACACGUAGGCACCAAGCGUUAUCCGGAUUUAUUGGGCGUAAAGAGCUCGUAGGCGGUUUGGUAAGUCGGGUGUGAAAACUCUGGGCUCAACCCAGAGAGGCCACUCGAUACUGCUAUGACUAGAGUACGGUAGGGGAGCGGGGAAUUCCUGGUGUAGCGGUGAAAUGCGCAGAUAUCAGGAGGAACACCAGCGGCGAAGGCGCCGCUCUGGGCCGUAACUGACGCUGAGGAGCGAAAGCAUGGGUAGCAAACAGGAUUAGAUACCCUGGUAGUCCAUGCCGUAAACGUUGGGCACUAGGUGUGGGUCUCAACCAACGAGAUCCGCGCCGUCGCUAACGCAUUAAGUG